rnacentral:rRNA from 1 species
GUUGAACGCUGGCGGCAGGCCUAACACAUGCAAGUCGAGCGGAUGAAGGGAGCUUGCUCCUGGAUUCAGCGGCGGACGGGGGAGUAAUGCCUAGGAAUCUGCCGCGUAGUGGGGGAUAACGUCCGGAAACGGGCGCUAAUACCGCAUACGACCUGCGGGAGAAACUGGGGGGGCGUCGGAACGCACGCUCUCAGAUGAGCGUAGGUCGGGUUAGCUAGUUGGUGGGGUGAAGGCCUACCAAGGCGAGGAUUCGCAAAUGGUCGGAGAGGCUGAUCAGUCACAUUGGAACGUAGACACGGACAAUACUCCUACGGGAGGGAGCAGAGUGGAACAUUGGGCAAUGGGGGAAAGCCUUAUACAGCCAGGCCGCGUGUGUGAAGAAGGCCUCGGGAGUGGAAAGCACUUCAAGUUGGGAGGAACGGCAUUAAGCUAAUACCUUGCUGGUUUGACGGUACCAACAGAAGAAGCACCGGCUAACUUCGUG